ensembl:lincRNA
GUGAGCUUCAAAUUUUCAUUUUAGACAUUUAAGUUGCAACAAGGUACAAACAUUCUUUCUCAGUUAUUUUUCAGCUUUUAAAAUCAUGUUUUUAAAUUUCAGCAUAAUUUUAGAUUGACAGAAAAGUUGCAAAGAUAGUACACAGAGUUCCUGCAUAUCCUUCAUCUAGUUUCCCCCAUGGAACCUAGAUAUAUUUUACCAUUGUAAAAUACGAUGGUACAUUUGUCACAACUAAGGAGCGGAUGCUGGUGUUUACUAUUAGCCAAACACUGGGCUUUAUUGGAUUUCAUCAGUGUUUCCAUUAGCAUCUAUUUUGUGCUCCAGGAUUCAGGCCAGGGUACCACAUUGCAUUUAGUUUGCAUGGCUCCCCAGGCUCCUCUGCUCUGCGACAGUUUAUCUGUCUUCCUUAUUGUUCAUUACCUUAACAGUAUUGAGAAGUACCGCCCAGGAAUACUGUAGAACACCUCCCCAUGUGGGCUGGUCUGUCAUUUUUCUUAUGAUUAGACUGGAGUCUACGUUUUUGGAAGAGUAUCACAUAGGUGAAGUGCCUUCAUUGUCACGUCAUAUUGUGGGGAGGCGCUAUGUGAUAUCCACACGACAUCAGUGGUCAUGUUAACCUUCAUCACACUAUAAUUUCUCAGAAUUUUUAAGAGUAAUUUUGGCUCUUGUUUGGUUGUUUCAUCAGAAGUAUGGAGAUGAGAAGUUCAGAAGGAGACCACUUGGAGACACAUAGGACAGAUGACCCGCAAAUCCCACAUGAAGCAAGGAGAUUAAUAACAGAGAUUGUACUUUGCAGAGGAUGGAAGUGUCAAAGUGUUCUGACUUGCCUAAAUCAAGCAAAAGUUUCUGCAUCUACAAAACCAAGCAAGCCCCAACCAUGUUUACAUUCUUUUCUGCAUAUUUCUUUGCCCAGCAGCACCUCAGCACUGAAGAGUGUUCAAGAGUAAACAUCAUUCUUUAUAUAGACUCCAAGAAGAGGUAACCCAAGCAAAUAUCAUGCGACUAGAAG